GUCUCACUUCAGCAGCACAUAUACUAAAAUUGGAAAAAAAAACAGAGAAGAUUGGCAUGGCCCCUGUGAAAGGAUGACAUACAAAAACAUGAAAUAUUACAUAUUUUU